GACGUAGGGCGCGAGCGUUGUCCGGAUUUAUUGGGCGUAAAGAGCUCGUAGGCGGUUUGUCGCGUCGAUCGUGAAAACUUGGGGCUCAACCCCAAGCCUGCGGUCGAUACGGGCAGGCUCGAGUUCGGUAGGGGAGACUGGAAUUCCUGGUGUAGCGGUGAAAUGCGCAGAUAUCAGGAGGAACACCGGUGGCGAAGGCGGGUCUCUGGGCCGAUACUGACGCUGAGGAGCGAAAGCGUGGGGAGCGAACAGG
rnacentral:rRNA from 1 species